rnacentral:rRNA from 1 species
CUACGGGGCGCAGCAGGCGCGAAAAUUUUACAAUGUACGCAAGUGCGAUAAAGGAACUCCAAGUGCUUAUGCAUUGCAUAGGCUUUUGCCAAGAGUAAAUAUCUUGGCGAAUAAGUGGUGGGUAAGACUGGUGCCAGCCGCCGCGGUAAUACCAGCGCCACGAGUGGGAAUCAUGUUUAUUGGGCCUAAAGCGUUCGUAGCUGGUUUAGUAAAUUUUGAGUGAAAUCGUUACGCUUAACAAAACGACGUGCUCAAAAGACUACUAGGCUUGAGACCGGGAGGGGUUAGGAGUAUUCCGAAGGGAGCGGUAAAAUGCUAUAAUCUUCGGGGGACUACCUGUGGCGAAGGCGCCUAACCAGAACGGGUCUGACAGUGAGGAACGAAAGCCAGGGGAGCAAAACGGAUUAGAUACCCCUGUAGUC